rnacentral:rRNA from 1 species
CAACUUUCAGCAGUGGAUCUCUAGGCUCGCACAUCGAUGAAGAACGCUGCGAACUGCGAUACGUAAUGCGAAUUGCAGAAUUCAGUGAGUCAUCCAAAUUUUGAACGCAUAUUGCACUUUCGGGUUAGACCUGGAAGUAUGUCUGUAUCAGUGUCCGUA